rnacentral:lncRNA from 1 species
CAGGAAUGCAGGGGCGCCUAUGGCAGGCCGGACUCCAGGUCAGGCCUUGGGGCAGUGAGGAAGAAGGUGCAUGCCAGGAGCUGCCUACGCGUUCUGGAAGAAUUCACAUGCUGAUUUGUAGGCGGCCUGGCCAGGUGCUUCGGAGACUCCAGCAGCAUCGAAGCUCAGAUACUCUGGGGGAAGCCAGUCACUAUUCCACGAGGAAGUUCAACUACCCCACGGAGAAGCUCAUGUAAAGAGGAACUGAGGCCACCAGCCAACAGCUGCAUGAAUGAGCCACCUUAGAAGCGAUCCUCCAGCCCCAGUCAAGCCUUCAGAUGACUGCAGCUCUGACCACCAUCUCAC